UGUCAUGUGACCGCGCUGAGCCAACUGCGUACUAAGCGCGAGGGUCUUAACCUGCUGCGCCGUCAUUCCUUACUCAGAUCUCAGAGAGGGGAAAUCAGCAGACUGUCGAGCACAGGGCAGGUGUUUCUUUUUAGGACCAAUCGAUGGCGAGCCUGAACCUAGUGUCCACCUAACUGGCAGAAACUACUGGUCUGGUAGGAAGGCUGCCACAGCCUGUCCCCCACACACUCUGUGAACUUUGGUGCAUCGUCCCACUCAUUCCUACUCCUAACUAUAACCCUUGGAUAUUCAAUACAACCUCUCAACAAACCCUCAUAGGUCGUUGUAUCAGUUCUGGGACUCUGUAUAUUUUCUGUUGUGACACACAAGUUUCCAUUCCACUUCAAACAAUACAUUUUGAAGUGCACUUAUCAGCCAAUCUCUAACUGCAGUUGUAAAUAUUUUGGGGUUUUCUUUUUUUUUUAAUAGUAGUAUUGUUGUAAGUCCACCUGUUGCUGUUCCUCCAGAGCUCUCCUUUCCUUCUGAAGCUUGGCGAUGUGGUCAUCUCGCUGGUUGAGGUCUCCGGUUAUGGUUCGAACCUUGAGGUCCAAACCCUAAACAAAGCACAGAAUCGUUUUUCUCACUUAUUUGCUGUCUCCUCAUCGUGGACCUCACACCUGUUUCUCCUUCUCGGUCUUGGUCAGCGUAGAUUCCAUUGACUCCAGGUCGCUUUUCAGCUCAUUUAGUUCUCCCUCCAGCUGUCUCUUCUGGGAGUGGAGAGAGGCUGCGUUGCCUUCUUCUUCUUCCAGGCGCUCUCGCAUAUCCUAGAGAUAAUUUUAGCUGUCACACACAAGCAUUUUUAGCCAAAUUAUGUUGUUUUAGCUUAAUAGAAAUGAAAACAUUCAUAAAUGGUGGUGCAAUAAUUAGCGGUGUUUUUACUUUUAAUAUGAUACUGAUAUAGCCUUAAGUAUUAGCCAAUACGGAUAUUAGUCUGAUAAGAUAUUAGCAUAAAUCAUUGUUAGAAAAGGCUUGAUAAAAUGAAAUUACCAAAUUUUUCGGACUAUAGACCGUUUCUGAUCGAAAAGGACAUUCAUCGCUCCAAGCAACUUUUGUAAGUUUUACAAUUCAUACUUCCUGGACUGUCCCAUGUGUGGGGUCUGGAGGAGUGUUUUCAUGCAUAAUGGUACGUGCUAUCGUAAUGUAACCAAGCUAGCGUUAGGAUUAGCGAAUAUGCUAACACAUUUAAAAGUGCCUGUGUUAGUAUUAUUGACUUACAAUGGCAUUGAUUUUGUAUUGUUUCAGUUUGGUAAAUCCACAAAAAUGUCACAGUGGAGUUGAGUCUGUUUAGCCGAUUGGAGAAUUAGUAUGACAGAGAACUGUUGACUUCUGUUUUGUUUGAUCAGCCGUUUUACUGCAGUGUGACCACCACCAUUUGGAAACAAGGUAUGUAAAUAAACAUUUAUAACAUCUUUUGUACCGGUAGAUACAUACGGCUUAUAGUCCAGUGCAGCUAGUAUAUGUAAACAUAUUUAUUUAUUCUAAAAAUGCGCUCUAUAGCCCACAAAACACCGUAUUCAGACAAUGGUAACGCUAACCUUAUGACAGAUUUAUGCUUUUGAAGUGGAGUGGUAAUUUAUUUUUGGUGACACUUAGUGGUUACAAUAAUUCAUAAAGUUAAGCUCAUGACACAGUAACUUGAAAAUGCUGACACAUUUGUUACUGGACAUUUUCUAAUACAUUUCUGUUUUGGAGACUUUGUAUCUGUAAAUAAUAUGCGAUGAUAUUUUUUUGAUACUGUAUAUUUGGACAAAUUAUUUUGGACUGCAAUAUGGUUCUAUUAAGGACACUUAUGUAUGCCUAUCUUUUUGUGCUAUUGUGUGCUUAGCUGUUGUGUAGCUGCUACGCUAGCAUGUUUUACCUUUUGUAAAUGACUGCUCGUAUCGCACCUUACAUUAUAACUUAGUAUUCACAGGCAAGCCGGUAUCAUCUGAUGCCUGUUUUUUUGCUGAUUUCGGAUACCAGUAUCAGAUCGGGAUCACCCCCGCCCGCCCGCCACACUACCUGCACUGACUCCUCCAGCUGGACUUUUUGGUGCAUCAACUGGGUGCAGCGCUCCUCUGCAUCACCUAGAGUGUCCUGCUCCUGUUGACAGACAAGGUGGAAAAUCAGAAUGCAUAAUGCAAUGUAUGGAUAAAACUCAUGGGAUGGGACAACCGGACCAAAAUUAUAGAAUUGGUCCCCUAUUAGCAGUUUCCACUCUCCUGGGAAGACUUUCUACGCGAUUCUGGAGUGUGUGAAAAUACUUCUUCCUAUGUUUUGGACAUGAACAGAACUGAGAUUCACUCACAGCAGCCAACGCUAGGGCAAGGUCGCUCUUCUCCUGUGACAGAGUGAACAUCUUCCCUUCCAGAUCAUUGACCUUGCCCUCCAUGUCUUUGACCUUCUCCACCGCCACACGCAGUUCUUCCUCUUUAGCCUUGUAGAUCUCCUCCUGGCGGGCGACCAUCAGGAGAGGCUUCACCUGUAUCAGCCAAUACAGUUGGGUUAAGAAAAGUAGUUUUGCAAAAGAUUUUUUUUUUCUAAAGCUCAAAGACACUUAUUAAAAAACAAAAAUCAGGCUUAUUACCAAACAUCUUAAACUCUUAAGUUUCUUAUUUUUUAUGCUGUUAUUUGCUAUUUUAUUUAUUGCUACUAUUAGUACUAUUAUUUUUCCUAUUUAACGUUCUUAUUGAUCAAUACCUUACUAUUCAUAUUUCUAAUAAAAAUAUACAAUUAAAACAUUUUAACACUAUAUUUUAUAUUAUAUUUAUUUUCGCCCCAUGUAUUUUGAAUUGUGCUGUUUGUGCAUUUAUUCUUUUUUUCUUUUUUUUUAAUUGGCGUAAAACACCUGCCUGUGUAUGAAAGGAGCUAGAUAAAUAACGUGUUGGUGGAUUUUGA